GUAGGUCACACCGAGUGGCCCCUCCUCCUCAGACACAGGGCUGUGCCUGGGGAGGCCCAAGAAAGCCAAAGAAUAGGCCACGGGCUCAGAAGACAGGGUGAGAAACACUUAGUCAGCAUAAUCCCUGCCAAUCACACCAGGGCUUCCGGUAAUACCAAGAGGGGAGCGGGUGAGAAGGUGGAUUCUGAAUCUGACCACGUAACUCUGCACUGCCACGAAGGCCCCAGCUCAUGCCCCGCGCUCAGCAGAGAGUGGGCUUGGGCCUCAUCUUCCUGUAACCGGGGGCUGGGGACCACUUUGAUCUCACUGUUCCCCUUGCUGCUGUUCACACCAGUACGGCGCCUUCAAGAAGUUAUCCCAGGGCAAUUUUCCACCUUUGAAGUCCCCGGAAAACCCUGCCAAAAGCCGUUCUGGUGUGAGGAUGCUGCAGGGGCAGGCAGCCUGGUGCCGCGGCCUCCCGGGUGCCAGAACUGGAACAUCGAGACAUCAAAGGCGAAGGUGGCAGCAGGGCGAUGAGUAAGCUCCGCUGCAGGCUUGGCCUCGGCCCCAGAAGCCUUCUCCUCAUCUCCCAGUGGUGGCUGAGCAGGACUAGGGAGACGACCCAGAGAGCCUGGAGACCUGGCUUGGGGGAAGCCCUGUGGAUGCUUCUGGAGGCGGACACUUCCCUGCUGCUCUGUGCCUGGUAAAGGCACCGACCACUGCAGAGCAGAAGCAGAGUCCAAUCCUGGCUCCAAAGCGCCCCUGACUGCAAAGCUUUGGUACUGUUAUUACCACCGUGAAACAGGUGGGGAAACUGAAGCAUGAGGAGCUUGAGUAAUGUGUGUUAGAUCACGCAACCAGUAGUGGCAGAGCUGGAAUUCCGACCUGGGACUGCCUCCAAAGUUCUUGCGUAAGAAUACAGCUGCUACACUUGCCCUUCUUCAGCUGAGACCAAGGAGGGAAUUCUGAUUGAAAGCAAACCAGGGAGGAAAGAUGCACUAGCACUGACCUGUAACAGGUCAAUCUGUGCCAUGGCAUGGCGAGACGAAGUGGAGAACCCAUGUCUCAUUGGAAUCCCGGAUCAUCGUCUCCACGAAGGCUGUCUUCUGCAGCACUCCAGGGACUCACGGCUCUGGGCUUAUUGCUCAGUGUCAUGUGACAGAUGUUUUAGUGUUUAGUUGGAACCCUGGAUCUGCAGCAACCAUCUUGCUACCAACUUGAGGGUGAAGCCAGCCGUAAGAAUAGCAGGCCGGAAAGAUGGAAGAAACCUGGCUUUCCAAUGUCAUCAUUUGGUUGCUGAAUCAAUUGUACCUAAAGCUCACUCUAUCUGUUUUACCUUGAGUUAGGGUUGCCGUUGCUUGCAGCUAAACGCAUCUUCUUUUUUUUUUUUUUUUUUUUUUUUUUUGAGAAGGAGUCUUACUCUAUCACCCAGGUUGGAGUGCAGUGGCGCGAUCUCAACUCACUGCAACCUCCACCUCCCAGGUUCAAGUGAUUCUUGUGCCUCAGCCUCCCACGUAGCUAGGAUUACAGGCGUGAGCCACCACGCCCGGCUUAUUUUUGUAUUUUUGGUAGAGAAGGGGUUUCGCCAUGUUGCCCAGGCUGGUCUUUAACUUCUGGACCUUAGGUGAUCCACCCGCCUCAGCCUCCCAAAGUGCUGGAAUUACUGGCAAGAUCCACCACACCCAGUCUAAAUGCAUCUGAAUAUAACAUGACUCUCCUAGAGAAAAACCUGGAACCCAGAGCACCUGAAUAGAAACUCUUAAUUAUAUCAAUGAGGAAUAGUUAACUUAGCCAAGUUUCCAUUGAAUAUGAAGAACUGUAAAAUAAUGUCAGUUCUAGCCAAGAACUGAAAAGUAAUGUCAGUACUCUAUAAUGUGUAAUUCAUAGUUGCUACAUGUAAUCAGGCUUGGCCAAUUGUUUCCAGGAAGAUGGCACCCUCAUUUCUGAAUGAGGAUGACCAUUUUCCACUAAUCCAGAGGUAAAACAGUCAUUGUAACUGCACUGAAAUUUGCUGUAUCAAGUGAGACAUGAAGGUAAAUGUCAUUGGCCCAGAGUAAUUAGUCUUUUCCAGUGCUUAAAGGAAGGGAGAGAAACUAAUGCCUAUUGAGUGCCUUCAAAGCUUCUGCAAUGUGCUGGUACCCACAUGUUUCCAAUUAUUCCUCACAACACUAUGGAGAGGUUAUUUUGCCUGUUUUGCUGAUCAGGGAACUGAGACUCACAGAGUGACACCAACCCAUCAGUAUUUCAGGUUUCUGGGGAGGGUCCAGAGAGCAAGGGGGAAGCUGCUAAUUGCUUGUUGGUUCAAGAGAAAUGUUAUCUCAGUAGACUAACGUAUGGACUUUCUGAUGUCAGAAAAUGCAAACUAUGUAGUGUAACCUGUUUGCCAUUUUUUCUUUGUAUCCGCAAACUGACAGCAAAAUAUAUUGCACAAGUAUUAUAAAUCUGUUCAGUUCAAGUGCCAGAGAACAUUUACUCUGCUUCCUUCAUGAGGUAAUUCAAAACUUUGUUUUUAAUAUUUAUUGAGUGUCUGGGUAGGUAAACUGCUAUGCCGUCCUAUGGGGAAUUUCAGAUGUGUUGUCUGUGUGUGUGUGUGUGUGUAUGUGUGUGUGUGUGUGGUGUUUUCUGGUUUUGAUUGUUGACGUUUUCUUGAUUUUUUUUGACAGGAGCAUCUUUAGAUAUUUAUUUAUUUUAUAAUUCAUACAUACAUAUAGUAAAAAGUUCAGAUAGUUUUAAAAUAUAGUGAUGUGUAAAUCUCCCCUCACUUGUGAGCCCCAGGCAUUCAGCUCCCCUCCCUAGACGCAAUUAUUGUAGUCAGUUCAAAGCUUGUUUGUGCACAUACAAGUCUCUGUGUAUAUCCUCUACACACACCCAGAAGAGCAUACUAUACAUGCUCUAGACUGUGUUAUGUUUCUUUGAAUGGCUACGAUGUAAUUUAUUAAUCCAGUUCCCUAAUAAUAGGCAUUUAGGUACUUUUCAUGUUUUUCUCAAUGUGUAAUUGUACCAUUAAAAUUCUUGGGUUUUUUUUUGGUUUUUUGGUUUUUUAUUAAGAGUCUCGCUCUGUUGCCCAGGCUGGAGUGCAGUGGCGUGAUGUCAGCUCACUGCAACCUCCGCCUCCCAUGUUCAAACAAUUCUCGUGCCUCAGGCUUCCGAGUAGCUGGGAUUACAGUCGCCCACCACCAUGCCUGGUUAAUUUUUUUGUAUUUUUUAGUAGAGACAGGGUUUCACCAUGUUGGCCAGGCUGGUCUCAAACUCCUGACCUCGAGUGAUCCGCCUCUCUUGGCUUCCCAAAGUGUUGGGAUUACAGGCAUUAGCCACAGCGAAAAUCCUUGUAUUCAUGCCUUUGCCCAUGUUUGCAAGUAUAACUGGGAGAUAAAAUGCUAGAAUUGCAGGGUCCAAAAAAAAGCACAUUUUAAUUUUAACAACUAUAACCCAGUUGCCUUCCAAAGAGGCUGUACACAUGUUUCCCUGUCUCAAACAGUGGUGAGCAUGCCUGCUCCCCUACAAACUCACCAGCUCAGAGCAUUAUCAGGCUUCUCAUCUCUGCCAACCUGGUAAGUACAAAGGGCAUCUCUUGUAGUUUCGGUUGCAUUUUUCUCAUUAUGAGAUUGAGCAGCAGACAAUGUCUUUAAAAGACUUAUUUUGCUCUGGGUUUUAAUCUUAAAAUACUCUAAAUCCUCUUAGAAGUAGGUAGGGUCAGAUCUUCAAUCUGGAUGGAUUUACGUAAUGGGUCUAUGAAAGGGAUAGAAAGUCAAAGCAAGGGGGUGAGGCGGGGGAAUGAUGCGAAGUCAAAGCCCUCCCCCUCGGGGGCCCCUAGCCCAUCCCUGAUCCCUCACCCUUUGCAGGGCAUGUCCAGAGCUGCCACUGCCCUGGGCCUCCACCCCACAGCCCAGGACCACACCUUAACCUGGAAAGUCGUGGACCUCCUCAGGGGAGCUCAGGGAUCAGAUGGGCCGAUGGGUGUUACUGUGGCCAGGAGCACUGGGUCUUGAGUAUGUGGGUGGAACUUUCCCUCAUCCCCUGACCACGUCUAACCACAUGGCCUCUCCACUUUGAUAGUGGCGAGAAGAGUAGCCUCUUGCUUUUGCAUGUUUUCCUAAUCACAGCGUGCUUUCUUGUCUGCUAUUUCAUUUGACUUUUUUCAACCAGCCGCUGAGGUGGGGAUUAUUAGCACGCCCUUUGCAGAUGAGGAAACUGAAGCCCAGGGAGCUUUGGCAACCUGCCCAAGGUCACACAGCCAGUGAAGGAAAGGGCUGAAAUCAAACCAGGCCUGUCUGACUGCAAGGCAGGGUCUUACGGCUGCCUCCGGUGGGUAGGUCCGGGACCCAGCUGGUUUCCGUCCUGUGGCUCAGGUGCGAGGAGAGCCUCCCUGGGCCACCUGGGGAAGUCUGACUGACGUGCCAGAUCCUCACAGAACAAAGGUAAGGCCUCAGCCUUCCCCCUGGCCCAGGUCUUUCCAUGUCCAGUGCAUUCCUGAAUGCUCCCAGUACUCUGGAAAAUGGGGAUUCAUGCUGCCAUUUUAAUUGGAACCCAAUCUGUUCUGACUUCAAAUCUAGUGCUCCUUCUCCAUCCACCCACCCUCCCUGAACCAUGCCCAGGAGAUCGAGAGAUUUUCCUAAUAAACAAGUCAUGUGCUACAAUGCAUGUGCUACACAACCACUGCCCGCUUUGUCUCUCCCCCUAGGAGAGAAGGGGACUCCUGAGAGGCCCCAGCAGCGUUAUCUGGGCAGAGAAAGUGAGUUUGAAGACCUCACACUCCAUCUGGACUUUAUCAGCUCCUUUCCUGGGUAGGAUUACAGUAAACGAUUAUCUACAGAUCUGGAGCCAGCAAGGACUUUGAAGGCCCCAAUUGCCAAGGGGGUGGUGAAAUGGGGGAAGGGCUGGAGACGCAGGAGAUGAAAAAGCAGUGCAGGCAUCUUAUCUUCCUCCUGAAAUCAAACAGGCUGGGCCUGGGCAGGGUGGGAGAGGUACCCUGUCUGUGAGGCUGACAGUCUCUAGCCCUGGCUGGCCACAAAAGAUACAGAGAGAACCAGAUGAAGGCCCUUCACUGUCUUCUCCUGAUCCUCUCUCCCUCCUCCUGGUUUCUUUUAUUAAUUCAUUCAUUCACUUGCAUCUUUCAGCCUGUUAGUUACAAUAUCUGACACGCUCUGAGCUCUCCCGCCAAGCCAAGUGCUUAGCAUCCAUCCCCUCAUGUGGUCUUCACCAUGACCUUCUGGGAGAGGUGCCAGAAUUAGGCCCAUUUUACAGAUGAGGAAAAUGAAGCCCCAGAGGCUAAGUAAUAGGAUGAGCCUGGGAUCACACAGCUAGUAAAUGGUAGGGUCUGGAUUCUCUUAAACCUGCAUACAUUUAUUCUUCCAUUUCCCCCUGCCUGCCUGCUUUCCUCUCAUAAUUCAUUUAUGUAUUCAGUUUUUCAUAUUCCCAUUGCUUGUUCAUUUUGAAGUUCCUUCCCUUCUUGCUUAUGCAUUUCUUCUGUCCCUUCCUGUCUUCCUCCUGUCUCUUCCUUCCUUCCAUGACCACAUCCUGAGCCUACUGUGUGCCCUGUCACCCUGCCAUCAGGACAUGGGGCUCCUGACAGAUGACUGCUGGGGAGGGAUAUGUGAGACCACCUCCUCCAGGGUCGACCUCCUCAAAUGAGGCUUUUGGGCUGUGCCUCCCUAUGCCUGAUUUGUCCCAGUGUUUGCCAAAAAUUUUAGGCUUUGAUAAUCUUGUGAAGAUGUUUCAGCCAAGCAAGUCUUGAGACUCCAUUGGUGUGGGAGUAAAAGUGGCCUGGGGAAGCCACUUCUUGCAGUUUCCCCUAAGCAAGGCUCUUUCUGUCCUUGCUGUUCUGACAUCCACUCCCUCAGCAAACAUCAUUAAGGACCUAUCAUGGGCAGCCCCUGGGGCCCACUCCCAUCCUCUAGCUGUCUCGAUUUCAUACCUCCCUAGCUCUAGAAAAUUCACUCCUAGAAGGCAGGGAAUUGGCGUCAAGGAACGGGUUCACAGCCUUGGACUCCUUUAUUCAUUCAUCUUUUUUCCUAGCACCUAACACAGGGCCUGGCUUAGACUGAAGGCUAAUAAAUACAGGAUCAAAAGGCAGUGAACCAUCAUUCUCUGUCACUCUCCAGGAGCUGGCCCACUCACCGUGCUAGACAUUGUACUGGAUAUAGUAGUCCCGCAUCGUUGUAUCACUCUCAUUUCUAGCUGGAGAAGUACCCCUCCUUUUCUAGGUGCGGUUAUGGGGUCGCUAUCACCUGAAGUGCCCGCCACUCACCCUGUAGUCUUGGGUGGGUAUGUGAUCUCAGCUAAAACAGUCGAGGUCUCUCUCCCUGGGCUUGGAAUUGUAAACCAAGUGAUGCAGAGAAAGAAAAAACACAAGCCCUUGGAGCCCAUCACAUCCCAUCACCGAUGAGGCUGUCCAGCGGUUCUGGCCCUCAGAAGCCCCAGAGAACUCCAGUUUCUGUCCUUUUCCGAGUGUGGCUUUCUGUCCACUUUAUGGCUGCUCAACCUCCCUCCAGUAUGCCCCUUCUCCCCUUAGUCAGUGAAUGUCUGUUUCUGUGCUUGCAAAUGAUAAAUCCUAAAUGAUGCCCCAGGACAUGGUUUCCAAGGCCAGCUAUUGGAGCCUCACCAGAAAUGUUCAUUCUGCCUCAUCAGUGUCUUGGCUAUUGCCUUUUUGGAACUGCUCUGACCUCUCCUCUUUCCAUCCUGCAGCACCCCCUCUCUCAGCACCAGGGAGCUCCUCCAGGAGCACUUCCUCCCAUGUCUGUGUUCGCCGUUAAGACUGGACACACCAGGAUGAUCUUUCAACUUUGGGUCCAAAGGCCCUCAGUGGAUGUAAAAUAGGUACAUGAGGCCUUGAACUGAACAUUUUUUUCACUUCACCAUAACCUGGAUUUUCCCAGUUUAGGAGCAUCUGUUUGUCUUGAUAACGUUUGGAACAAAGUGAAAAAAACUGGACUUUGAAGAGAACUUCAGCCUCCCAGCAGCCCUGUUUUACAGAUGAAGAAACUGAGGCUCAAAGAGCUGGAGAAAGUUGUUGCCCAGGGUCCUGUGGAGAGAAAACUCAAGCUCCGGCUGUUCCACUACUCUGGGACACCACCCCCAGUGGGAACCCCACUUUUACAAGGAUUCGAAGGUAGGUGAGGACUUAUCUCCUGAAAUAAUUAGUAUACUUACUUUUUUGUUACAUAUUCCCACUAAAGGUUUGCAGCCCCACCCAGCUUGAAUAUCAGGAGAAUGGCAACAAAAUCUGGUUCAAGGCUCACAGAAUCCACGAAAGAUGCCAGCCCCUCCACGGUUGGAGAGUGAUUCACAAAUGUGUCUUUAAGGACUUUCCCAGGCCGGGCACAGUGGCUCACACCUGUAAUCCCAGCAAGCCGAGGCGGGAGGAUCACCUGAGGUCAGGAGUUUGAGACCAGCCUGGCCAACAUGAUGAAACUCCGUCUCUACUAAGAAUACAAAAAUUAGGCAGGCGUGGUGGCAUGCACCUGUAAUUCCAACCACUUGGGAGGCUGAGGCAGGAGAACUGCUUGAACCGGGGAGGCAGAGGUUGCAGUGAGCCAAAAUCACACCGCUGCACUCCAGCCUGGGCAACAGAGUGAGACUGUGUCUCAACAACAACAACAACAACAACAAACAGAAAAAAAAGAAAAAAAAAGGACUUCCCCAUCUCAGAGCAGAAGACAAACCCAGGUGACUCUGAGUCUGCACAGAAAAGGCAAGGGUGACCAAGAGUGAGGAGGUUAAGCACCUGUUGCUUUCAGCUCAGGUCCUGACCACAGCCCUUAAUAAGGACAAACCUCUCAGAUUGCUGCAGCCUUCAAUACGCAUGUUCCUAUAGUGCCUGGCCAAUAAGAAGUACUUACACAGUAGCUGUUAUUAUUGUAAAGGCGGCGCAAAGAGUUAAGGAAGGCCGGUAGCUAAGCUGAAUCUGAGUUGCAUCUUGUAGGCCAUGGUAUGUGAAAGAAGGGCAGGCCAGGAGGGGGAACAGAGUGAGUAAAGCCCAGAGGCAGGGGCAUGGAAAAGCAGGGAGGAGUUAAGCUUGGGGCAAAUAUCCUAAAUGAAGGGGAAUAAAAGGCAACAAAGUUUGCAAGUUGCACCGGGGCCACAUCUUGGAGUUGUUUGAGAACAUGUCCCAUGAGGCUGCAUUUAACACCAGCCACUCGCGCUUCCACCCCAACAGCAGGAGUAUCACAUCCACAUGCCAUGUGCGCAAUUCCUUACUUUAUAUCCUCCUCUAAGAUAAAUCUACCCUCCCUCUUUUUUAAGCAUAAGAGCAUUUAUUCUAAAAGGAAACUUUUGGCCAGGCAUGGUGGCUCACGCCUGUAAUCCCAGCACUUUGGGAGGCCUAGGCUGGUGGAUCAUGAGGUCAGGAGUUCGAGACCAGCCUGACCAACAUGGCAAAACCCCGUCUCUACUAAAAAUACAAAAAUUAGCCGGGUGUGGUGGCACGUGCCUGUAGUCCCACCUACUCGGGAGGCUGAGGCAGAAGAAUUGCUUGAACCCGGGAGGCAGAGGUUGCAGUGAGCUGAGAUCACACCACUGCAGUCCAGCCUGGGCAACAAAGCAAGACUCUGUCUCAAAAAAUAAAUAAAUAAAUAAAUAAAAGGAAACUUUUGCUCACUAAUGGAAAUGGAAGUGGCACCUGUCAUAGGCAGAGACAAAUUGUCAAAGUAAACAACUUUUAAGUCUCACUAGACACUCCUGCCCCAGCAGAAUCUGGUCAAAAGCUAGGUCAGCAAAUUUCAGAGGCAGUAUUAAGGACAAAGUAGCAACAAUCCAAACUUUCUUUUUAGGUACUCAGAAAGACUAACAGAACAUUGAGAAGGGGUGUUAGUCACAUCCCCAAACUGCAAGAGGCCAGAAGAUAGCGAGGGGUCUUUCAAACAAUCUAAAAUCUGAGACCCCAAUGUUGGAAAAGAGAAGGAAGGGAAUGGGUUAAAGUGCCAGUUGCUCCCUCCUCAGAUAGCAGGGCCCUGGACAUCCCUAAGAUGUCCCCUUCCUCUUUCAUCCUUCCCUGAUUCCAGCCUCCCCACCUUCCCCAGGCUGGCUUGCCUGAUUUUGUGAGCUCUUCAGCCGGCUUAAAGUGUAAUUCUGUAUUUCUGAUUCUAUCUGUGUUCCAGGAGGCAUUAUCUCUAUCUCUGUAAUAGCUUCUCAAGCAAAAACAUUUUACUGGGUAAAAGAGCAAGGAAUAGGCAUGACCUGAUGCUGAUUUAAAGCAAGAUUCCAGGCAAGCCCCAGAGCCCUCUCUAAGUAGCCUCUCUCCUUUCUGCUGUCUAACGAAACAGCUCCUAAUGGCCAUGGUAUCAUAUUGUAUCUCAUAUUUACACAGCACUCGGCACACAUUCACUUAUUCAGCGGACAUCCAUUGAGGGCCUAUUAUGUGCCAAGUCUUCUGGGUGCUGGCAAUCAACAGUGAACAAAGACCCGUGAGGUUCUUGCUCUACUUGGGAAAACAGGCAAUAAACUCUGAAACAAGUAAAUAAACACGAUCAUGAUGAGGCUACUGAAAAAGCAAUGUGGUAGCAGCGUGACGAUGAUGUGCCAUGGGAGACAGGUGGCAACAUCAAAAAAGGUAGACUGCCCCCGCCCUCCGAAGAGGUGGCAUGUGAGCAAGAAGGAGCCAGCCAAUGGAAAGCUCUGAAAGCAGAGUCUUUUAAAAACAAAACAAAAUCAAAAAACAAAAACAGGGCUCAAAGAAGAUGUCUGCACUUCUGCCAGACGGGGCAGAAAGAAGAUAAUGGUGCUCCAAUCAGGGAGACUGUGGAGGCAGUACAGGUGACAGGAGGCAGGGAAACGAGAAUUAGCCAGAAACACAGUAGGUUUGCCAUGUCAGUCAGACACUCGAGUGUGUUCUUGCUCUUCUCAACAAACCAUAAAGUAAGGACGAUCAGUGUUUCCCAUUUUACAGACAGGAAAACUGAAGCUCGGGAAGGCUACCCAGGUACAUAGGGGCAGUGGUGGGAUGUGAAUCUAUGGUUUAGGAUGCUGACGCCAGCACUAUCCCACCUGCCUCAUGGUAGAGCAGUGUCCAGACACAGAGGUGGCAAUGCAGCAGCUCAAGUGGCAGCUCCAGCACUGCAUGUGUUUUGUCCGUUCUACAUGGGUUUGGAAAAACUCACCUGAGCUAGCGAUCAACUCUUAAAUAUAACCCUUCACUCAAAAAUCUGGCUGUCUAUCUGAAAAUAUUUGAAGACCUGGUCAUAGUGGGACCAUGAUUUGAAUGACAACAAUGGGCUGGAGCAGUAUCUCUGCCCACCUUGAGAGAGGGAUGGGCACUCUGUUUUUCCACAGCCCCCACCUCUCCCGAUUGCUUGCCCCGGCCCCUUCACUCCUCUCCAUUGCAUUCAUGGCCUCCCUAUGCAUUCGGCUUUGAGGCCCCAGCUCUCUAGUGAUGAAAUAUGUGGGAAGAUCCACAAAGCCCAGCAAACGAGGAGUGACCAGAGGAAUUGAGUUACAGUUCCUCCCUAGAACACUUUCCUGCCUUUCUGAUGUAAUCACUUUGCGCAAACAGUAGGAAAUGUUCAGAAGAGCUGCUACAAGGCGGUGAUUAAGAGGUCAGGCCUGGUUCUUAAUUCUAGCUUCAGCAAGUCCUAUCUGUGGGACUUGGGCAAGUUCUAAAAACCUCAGUUUCUUUAUCUGUAAAGCGCAAAUAAUAAUAAUGCCUACUUUAUAAGUAGGAUUAGGGGAAACAGUAAUUUAGGAAACGUGCUCGGAAUGAUGCUAGUUUCGUGGUGAGUAUCCAAUAGAUGGAGCCGUAGUUGUCUUUCUCAUCUUAGAAAGCAGCUGAUUCUCCCAUGUCAUGACAGUGUUUGUGCAACUCCUCUGGAAUUCUCUCCUUUCUUCCUUAGGAGAGCAUUUUCUCAAUGUUCCUCUUUAUCUUUCUCCAAACACAAAGACAAAUCUAAGAGGAAAAAAAAAAUCUUCAAACUGGGUCGCAGAUACUCAGCUUCUUGUCAAUUCUCAUUAGGGUUUAAAAGCUCAGUCUCCUGCAUAUGCCCAAAGAUAAAGCAAUCCCUUCCAUUCCUAAUUCAAAGAACCAAAAAAAAAAAAAAAACAUGUGGUUGGACCUGGUUGAAUAUAUAAACUUUUGGGGAUGGCAAUAAACUAGGCAAAGUCCUGGUUAUUCAAUUUAUUAGCUCAGUUGUGCAACGUAGAAAUAAACAGAAAAUUACUUAUAAUUUUACAAUAAUAUUCAUUUAGAAACAUCACUUUUCUCCAUAUACGUGUUGCAUGAAACAGCUUUACUCCAUUCUUUGCCACACAUAAGGAGGCCGAGGAGGGAAGAUGGCAUGAGGCCAGGAAUUCAAGGCUGCAGUGAGAUAUGAUUGCACCACUACACUUCAGCCUGGGCGACAGGGUGACACCUCAUCUCUAAAAAAUAAAAUAAAAUAAUAAAAAAAUUUUGGAAAUUUUUAAAGCGUCUGCUCCACAGAGCCACAUUUUGCAUUGUGCAGUUUCGUUUUUCAGACCUUUCUCCUCUCUUCCAUCUGACUGCCCUGAGAUCCAGCACUUUUUGCUUCCACAUCUGAGGCUGUCGCUGGAAACAAGGUCUCCAUCCCAUUUGCAUGACAUGAGCACAGUCGGGAUUUGUAUUCAUUCUGUGGGUGUGUGUAUAUUCGUGCUCUCCACAAAAGAACCACUCAGCAUUGCUUUUUCAAGCCGAGCUUUAAAAGGCUUAUUUGCCAUGACAUCCAGCACUUGUAAUUUGAGGUCAUACCCCGAGGAAGAAUUGCUAAAUCUGUGUAAAAUGUUUCUGACUCCUUUUCUUACAGAUUCUGUCAGAUUAUCUCUUUAAGAAUUCUAAGCCCAUGUUGUUUGAGGUGGUUUUAGGCUAAUGUACAUUCCCCAAACAUUUCUUUGCUGUUCAAAAUAAAGCAAUUGAGAGGGUUCUUCGUAAAAACGAAGCACUUUGCAAGAGCUCAAGACAAAAGACAACUCCCUUUUUUCUAGGGGGUAAUUUUGAGGAUAGAAGAAAAACAGUGUUCUAUGUAAGCCUGUACAAUCACGAGAGCCAUUUGCUGAGGGCCAUGUGUGCGAGUGGUUCGUGUGCUCUCCACCUCCUCUUCUUCCUCCCAGGGGAUGAAAUGAGGCCCAACAAGUGCAAGACAUGGACCAUGUCAGCUCGUGACAGAACAGGGCUGGAACCCAAGUCUGCUAGGCUCAGCCCACUCCCUCCCUGUGCCGAGUUGACAUAUUCUACUUACAUUAAGCCAAGUGCUGGGCUCUGAUUAUACAAAAUCAGAUAAGCCAGGACCCUGUGUUCAAGGAGCUCCCAGGCCUGCUGGGGUGAGAGUGGAGCAGCAAGGAUGGAAGUGCACAGAUGCAAGGGUGGCCAGGCCUAUGGGGAUACAGGCAAGGGAGGCUGAGUGUU
rnacentral:lncRNA from 1 species